UACGGAGGGUGCAAGCGUUAUCCGGAUUCACUGGGUUUAAAGGGUGCGUAGGCGGGCAUUUAAGUCAGUGGUGAAAUACCUGAGCUUAACUUGGGAACUGCCAUUGAUACUAUUUGUCUUGAAUACCGUGGAGGUGAGCGGAAUAUGUCAUGUAGCGGUGAAAUGCUUAGAUAUGACAUAGAACACCGAUUGCGAAGGCAGCUCACUACGCGGUCAUUGACGCUGAGGCACGAAAGCGUGGGGAGCAAACAGG
rnacentral:rRNA from 1 species